rnacentral:rRNA from 1 species
GAUGAACGCUGGCGGCGUGCCUAAUACAUGCAAGUCGAGCGAACAGACGAGGAGCUUGCUCCUCUGACGUUAGCGGCGGACGGGUGAGUAACACGUGGAUAACCUACCUAUAAGACUGGGAUAUCUUCGGGAAACCGGAGCUAAUACCGGAUAAUAUUUUGAACCGCAUGGUUCAAUAGUGAAAGACGGUUUUGCUGUCACUUAUAGAUGGAUCCGCGCCGCAUUAGCUAGUUGGUAAGGUAACGGCUUACCAAGGCAACGAUGCGUAGCCGACCUGAGAGGGUGAUCGGCCACACUGGAACUGAGACACGGUCCAGACUCCUACGGGAGGCAGCAGUAGGGAAUCUUCCGCAAUGGGCGAAAGCCUGACGGAGCAACGCCGCGUGAGUGAUGAAGGUCUUCGGAUCGUAAAACUCUGUUAUUAGGGAAGAACAAAUGUGUAAGUAACUAUGCACGUCUUGACGGUACCUAAUCAGAAAGCCACGGCUAACUACGUG